UAGGGAAUCUUCGGCAAUGGACGCAAGUCUGACCGAGCAACGCCGCGUGAGUGAAGAAGGCUUUCGGAUCGUAAAACUCUGUUGUUAGAGAAGAACAAGGACGUUAGUAACUGAACGUCCCCUGACGGUAUCUAACCAGAAAGCCACGGCUAACUACGUGCCAGCAGCCGCGGUAAUACGUAGGUGGCAAGCGUUGUCCGGAUUUAUUGGGCGUAAAGCGAGCGCAGGCGGUUUCUUAAGUCUGAUGUGAAAGCCCCCGGCUCAACCGGGGAGGGUCAUUGGAAACUGGGAGACUUGAGUGCAGAAGAGGAGAGUGGAAUUCCGUGUGUAGCGGUGAAAUGCGUAGAUAUAUGGAGGAACACCAGUGGCGAAGGCGGCUCACUGGUCUGUAACUGACGCUGAGGCGCGAAAGCGUGGGGAGCAAACAGG
rnacentral:rRNA from 1 species